rnacentral:rRNA from 1 species
GACGAACGCUGGCGGCGUGCCUAAUACAUGCAAGUCGAGCGGAAGUUGGAGAGCUUGCUCUUCAACUUUAGCGGCGGACGGGUGAGUAACACGUGGGCAACCUGCCCUGCAGAUCGGGAUAACUCCGGGAAACCGGUGCUAAUACCGAAUAGUUUUCGCCACCCCCUGGUGGCGUACGGAAAGACGGUUUCGGCUGUCACUGCAGGAUGGGCCCGCGGCGCAUUAGCUAGUUGGUGGGGUAACGGCCCACCAAGGCAACGAUGCGUAGCCGGCCGGGGGGGGUGAUGGGGCACACGGGGAAUGGGAAACGGCCCCCACUCCUGCGGGAGGCAGCAGUAGGGAGUCUUCCGCAAAGGACGAAAGUCUGACGGAGCGAGGCCGCGUGAGUGACGAAGGUUUUCGGAUCGUAAAACUCUGUUGUGAGGGAAAAACAAGUACCAACGAACUACUGGUACCUUGACGGUACCUCACCAGAAAGGCACGGCUAACUACGUGCCAGCCGCCGCCGUAAUAC